rnacentral:rRNA from 1 species
UACGGAGGGUGCAAGCGUUAUCCGGAUUCACUGGGUUUAAAGGGUGCGUAGGUGGGUCUGUAAGUCAGUGGUGAAAUCUCCAAGCUUAACUUGGAAACUGCCGUUGAUACUAUAGACCUUGAAUGCUGUGGAGGUGAGCGGAAUAUGUCAUGUAGCGGUGAAAUGCUUAGAUAUGACAUAGAACACCAAUUGCGAAGGCAGCUCACUAAACAGCGAUUGACGCUGAGGCACGAAAGCGUGGGGAUCAAACAGG